rnacentral:misc_RNA from 1 species
GAUGAAGAACGCAGCGAAAUGCGAUACGUAAUGUGAAUUGCAAAUUCAGUGAAUCAUCGAGUCUUUGAACGCACAUUGCGCCCCCUGGUAUUCCGGGGGGCAUGCCUGUCCGAGCGUCAUUACUGCCCUCAAGCCCGGCUUGUGUGUUGGGCCCCGUCCUCCGAUCCCGGGGGACGGGCCCGAAAGGCAGCGGCGGCACCGCGUCCGGUCCUCGAGCGUAUGGGGCUUUGUCACCCGCUCUGUAGGCCCGGCCGGCGCUUGCCGAUCAACCCCAAUUUUUAUAGGUUGACCUCGGAUCGGGUAGGGAUACCCGCUGAACUUAAGCAUAUCAAUAAGCGGAGGA